rnacentral:rRNA from 9 species
UCGCGACCCCAGGUCAGGCGGGAUUA